AUAAAAUGAUUUUUUAUCUGUUUAUAUUUAGGUUUAAUAUGCAAUGAGAUCAUUUUUCAUUUGAAACACUUUUUCAAACUUGUGUGAAAAAAAAUAAUAAAAUCCACAACAUCCGAUUGUUUUGAACAAACCAGGAGAGUUUUCUAAUUACACCAUCGUUGCUACUUCCAUUAAAAACCCCAGAGUCAAUCGUGCAUCUGAUUGGUUGGAUGUUAAAUCUGAUGAAUGGCUUUUAUAUGCUUCCUCAUUCCCAGGUCGCCGGCACACAGAGGACAAUCCUGCAUCUCCUCCCAUGUCUUGUGCUCCUCAGCUUCAGUGUUCUUCGUGUGGAAGUCAUGAUGGACGGGCAGCUGCUGUCAAUCCAAUGGACUAGCAGCCCAUGGCAUAUUUGUGGACUUGCAGUCGACGCUUUAUACCAGAACUGUGCUGCCUUCCCUUCGCCUUUCCCCCACGGCCCACAUUCCAGCCUCUCCCGUCACCAUUCACGCCGCGUCUCUCCACGUUUCUACGCCGGCAGCAGAGAUGUCUCACGCUCAGGUUUGAGGUUGCAUCAUUUGUCUUUCCCCAGCAAUUGACAUAUCUGUGAUAAAAUGCGAGUUCACCCACUGAGGCUUUGUACCGAGGGAUUUGAAGAGGUGUAAAAGGAUGUGGCCUGGGGCUCUGUUCUUUGCUGGAGGGAACGCAGUUUUUCUUUAGAAAAAAAAAAAGAUGGUGGGAAGGGAAGUGUGGGGGAAGAAAGUGGUGAAGUAAAAAAAAAAAAAAAAA